rnacentral:misc_RNA from 1 species
CGUAAGGACCCGUUGCACGCGCGGAGCAACACGGGUAACCCACUCACUCGUCACACGCACACAACACAUCCUCCGGCUUUUAUGGCACCUGUGCCUCCGUUUUCCGAAAGAACGCGACGCCGCCUGCAGAUACCUGACCGUAGUAGCGUAUCAGGCGACAGAAAUUCCUGUGUCGCGAGUUGUUUUGUCGAAUAGCGAUCCGUAUACGCCCCUGCCCUCGCUUCACGCGUAAGAAAGUCACCAUGGACGUCAGCAAGCGGCCACGCGAGGAAUUCCACAAGGAGCAGUGUCUCUCCUUCGUGAAGAAGCUUUGGGCGGCCGACACGCUCGCCAUGUUUCACUAUCCGGUGAGCGCCACCGAGGUGCCCGGCUACUACGACGUCGUAGAUACACCUAUGGACCUGUCCACGAUUCGGAAGAACAUCGAGCAGGGCAAGUACAGAACGGACACUGAGGUCGAGAAUGACGUGGUGCUCAUGCUGUCGAACGCUCUGGACUUUAACGAGAAAGGCUCGCAAUGGCAUGAUUUGGCGAAGCAGCUCAAGAAGCGGUACCUGACCCUUGCGCAGGAGUCGGGGCUGUCCUUCGACGCAGACCAGGCGUUCAUCCCUACGAAAAAGGUGCGCGACGACGAGUCGACGCUGCGCAAAGCGGAGAAGAAGGGAGGGGAGAAGCUCGAGGAUGUUUUGCAGGCGAUGGAGAAGGACAAGGAGAUCCCGCUCGAGCAGCUGCGGGCCAUGUACGCGCGCCGAAGAACAAGGGGGAAAGCCGAUCAGCAAAGCUCCGACUACAGCAGCGGUAGGGGCAGCGACGAUAGCGAUGAAGAGGUGUCCUCGGACGAAGAAGACACGAGCGACAGUGGCAGCGGCAGCGGCAGCUAUGACACUGAAGAAGAAGAUGAGGACUCGCUCGACUCCGAGAGUGUGUCAAAGGAUGACGAUGACGACGAGUGACACAUAAGAGGCGUGUGCCCCCCCCUUCUCAUGCCGCCGUUAUUAGUUGUGCAUACUCACUAUCAUGGGCAUCACUAUCCUCACCCUCUCGUCGUUUCAAGAUGAGAAGCGGGUCGGGUGCUGACAGAUUAUCACAUCUACUGCAAACACGCAGGCAACACAGC